UACGGAGGGAGCUAGCGUUGUUCGGAAUUACUGGGCGUAAAGCGCACGUAGGCGGCUUUGCAAGUAAGAGGUGAAAGCCCGGGGCUCAACUCCGGAAUUGCCUUUAAAACUGCAUCGCUAGAGUUGUGGAGAGGUAAGUGGAAUUCUGAGUGUAGAGGUGAAAUUCGUAGAUAUUCGGAAGAACACCAGUGGCGAAGGCGACUUACUGGACACAUACUGACGCUGAGGUGCGAAGGCGUGGGGAGCAAACAGG
rnacentral:rRNA from 1 species